UCAUACACUAAGCUUGGACUAUGCAUGCUCUGUCUGUAUGCACUCAGAGAGUGAUACCUGCUAUGGUACCAUACAGUAACUACAGAGAUAGAAAUACUACCAUGCACCAAGCUUAGCUAAACAUAAAAUGAUCAUGUGCAAAGGGAUAAACAUACACUAGGGCCAAGCACAAGUCUAUAACUCCAUACAUAACUUGCUAUUACAUCAUUACU
rnacentral:lncRNA from 1 species